GGUGGAUGCCUUGGCAGUCAGAGGCGAUGAAGGACGUAGUAACUUGCGAUAAGCCCAGAUUAGGUAGUAACAACCAUUUGAGUCUGGGAUUUCCGAAUGGGGAAACCCACUUACAUAAGUAAGUAUCGCUGCGUGAAUACAUAGCGCAGCGAGGCGAACCGGGGGAACUGAAACAUCUAAGUACCCCGAGGAAAAGAAAUCAACCGAGAUUCCGAAAGUAGCGGCGAGCGAAAUUGGACUAGCCCUUAAGCUUUACACGCGUUAGA
rnacentral:rRNA from 1 species